GUCCCUGGAUUAAUAGUCUAGCGAUAAUACCACUCGGCCAUCACCUAACCCCGGAUACGUGAUCCAGAGGCUCCUGGUUUGCACCCAUGUGACUUUCAAGAUCAAAGCUUGGCCAAAGAGAGGAGUUUUAAGGAGUGUCUUCAUAAUACUGUUGUCUUAUUAAUUGUUUUGUUGUUGCUUUUAAGGAAAAGCUAGCUAAACGCUUGAGUGGGAGAAGAAUGGAAAGUUCUGCUGAUGCAGUUUGUUGAAGAGGUGUAAGAAAGAUGCACCUUAAAUCCAGUAUGAAGGAACGGGGCUGAAUUGACAAUUUUGGAAUUGCACAUUUUACACGAUAGUAGAUUUUAUGUUUUCUUAGCACUGUAAAUGAUUCUCAGUUACCUAGAGGAGAUUACAUUUUAAUGAUGGCAGAAUCACUUAAAUUGAACUACAUUUUGGUGAGAUUGUAGUUGUCUCUUGUUAGUUCAGUAAGUUUGUUCAACAAUAUACGUUCAGAAUCAUGCUCCAAGCUGUGAUUUAGAUUACCCCAUCCUUGAUACUGGUCCCUACACAACUGGGUUAUGGAGCUAGAUAUUCUACCAAGUCAUGAUUGCCAUCCAGUGGACUCUUUUGGAACUGAACUUACACAUGAUUUUGGGAGAGAACAAUAUGGAACUUAGAUAUGAUCCCUCUGCAGUUGAGUAAUCUUCAGUGUUUCACAUCUGAAGGCAUGCAUUGACAGUUUAAGGGAAGGACCAGACAAUAUCUCAUGCUUCUGCAUCUGUGUUCUUGCAGCACCUGGGCCAGGAUAUUUGAGGAACAAAAAUGCUCUAAUUUUAAAACUUUUUUUUUCUACAGGGAUAAACAGAAUUAGAAAUUCUUCAGAUGCCAAAUUGUGUGAGCCUCAGUCUGUCCUCCAGAGGUUUACAAAGUGAAUAUAUGUUGCUGAAUAGUUCUUGAAUCCUGUAGCAUGGAAGGAAGCCAUUCAGUCCAGCUUGCCUGUACUUUGGAAGAGUUAGCCAGUUAGGUCUUCCCUUUCUGGUCUUUCCCAUAGCCUGCAAAUUAUUUCUCAUUUCAACUGUAAGUUAUUUAUUUUUGAAAGAUGACAACGAACCAACUUCUUUUAAACAGUAUAGUGCAGAUCACAACCACUUGCUGAAUUAAUUAUUUUUAAAAAACUCUUCCUUUCCACCUACUUCUUUUGCCAAUUAUCAUAUUUUUAUGUUCUCCAGUCAUCGAUCCUCCUACCAGUGGAAAUAAUCAGUACUGCAUAUAUGAAAAUCUCUCAGUUCUGAAAUGCUAUCACUAAGCCUUCCCUUAACCAUCUCUUGAGGAGAGAACAAUCCAACCUUCUCAAGAAAUUCUUCCUCAAGUGUGGUACAGAAUUAAAUACAAGACUUCAACUGGGGCGUAACCAAUAAUUUAGCAAGGUUUACCAGAACCUACUUGCUUUUGUACACCAUUUGGGAUUUUUCCCCACUAAGUAGUAAGAUCAGUUCUGAGAAAUAAGAUGCUUUCACUUUUGUACGAUGUGUAAUCACUAAGUACUUGUAAAUGAGGUUUGCAACUGAUUAAGCGUAGGGUAAAAUCUCACCCCGAAAGGAACAUCUUCACAGUGUCAACACCAUAUUUCCGUUUCAUGUGCCAGACAUUCUUGUGGCUUCGUUGUGUGAGACUGAGCUACUGAGGAAUUGAAGGCAAUUUAGUGCUUUGGACCUGUGCCAACUAGGAGCUGAGACUUUCCAAAUGCACUACACCUAAGAAGGCCUGUUUUCAUGAACGAGCAGACUUCAUCUGGCCUGAAGUCAAAUGUAGCUUUGAGAGGUUAAGAAACAAGGAAGUGCCUUUUGUGUCAUCGUGAUGUCCCAAAACGGUUCAUAGGCACGGAAGUACUGAAGAAAUACAGCCACUAUUGUACAAAAUGCAGCAGUCAAUUUAUAUAUCGCAAGGUCCCACAAACAGUAAUGUAGUCAUGGCUAGAAAAUCUAUUUCAGUGAUGUUGGUUAAGAAUAAGUAUUGACUAGGGCAGUGGAGAGAAUGGCCCUGCACUUACACUGAAAUAUGUCCACGAGGCAGGGUUGAUAGGGCCUGCAUUUAGCAUUCCCCGCAAAAAGCAAUACCCUUAACAGGAGUACACCGACAGCACUGACUGAUUUAUGUGGUCAGAUUUCUGGACUCAAACUCUAUGUACCAAGCCAUAGCUGAUAUCUGAGUGAUAUUGUAGAAAAGCAAAGUGUAAGAAAUUGGAUCCUCAAAAAUAUGAGAUUGAGUCCAUUAAUACUGCAACUUCAAUUCUGCCAGGAGGCCUGAAUGUAAUCUGUUGCACCCAAGCCCCUGAUAUAAAGAAAUUUGUACCAUGAUGUUCGCAAGCUCGUGUGCUUAAAAAGAUGCUAGCUGUUUUAAAAAGAAAAGUUAAAAUAGGCUCCAUUUAAUAUAGAUCAGAAUGUUGUAGGUUGCAAAAAUUGAUGGAAUGCAGUUUUAGUUUUUAUGUUUAACCACAGUAGUUCUUCCACGUUAGCACAGGUGUUGUAAAGGAAACAACUUGACAUUUCAUGGGAUAAGGAUAAGAAUCCUAAAGCCAUACAAGAGCAUGAAGCUUGCUCAUACCUGAAAUUUUAGGAGAAUCUGUCUUGCCCGGUAGGUGAUGGUAAUGAGGCAUUGUUUUUGUGUCUUAAAUUGAAGUACUUGGAUAAAAGAAUGCAAAUAUUUAACUGGAUAAGUUGUAAUGAGCAAAAGUGGCAAAAGCAAUUAUCAAUUUAGGUUUUGGCAAACCAUCUUCAUCACCAGUGUUGUGAUUGGAAUGAAAAGUUAGUAGAGGCAGAGUGAGUGGAAUGACAUCUGUUGUUUAAUCAGAAAGGAGUAAAAGUACAGAAAUUGUUAUAAUCUCACAUGUGGCUCCAGCCACUGAUACAGAUAUUGUGUAAAAGAAUCAUGUGAACUAUUGCAUCCUGUUUUGAACUAUAUCCUUCUAAAAAGACCUGAUGGAAAUGGAGAGGAUUCGCAACAAAGGAAAGCAAGAUUAAUCCACAUUACAUACCAACAAACUGAACAGUUACUUAACGCAUGAUGAAUAGUUAGAUGGAGGAAUAAGAGAACACUGGAGUAAACUUUGUGUAUUUUAUUGGCAUUUUGUUGAAAAUUUUGUCUGAACGCUUCAACCUCCCACAAGUCUCUGCUCUUGGACAUGAUAAUUCAGUACAGACUGUGAAUUUUCUGAGCUGCAGUUGAUGUGUCAGCAGUAUUUUCAGUGGUUCCUAUUUCCACAUAUACAUUAGAACCACUCAGUUGUCUUGUUGGAAUAUUCUUACAGCCUCCACUCAAAAGCUUUUCCGAAUGGAGGACAAACUUUUACAAUUUUAGGGUUUAUUUUCUAUUUCACUUUUUAAAAAAAAAAAAAAAAUAGGGUUUUUCUUUCCAAUUAUGGCUGCUGGUAACAGGAAGAAGGUGGGACACCGAGCAGAUAUAUGCCUUUUGUAACUUUUCAGUCCUUUAAACUUAAAAAAAUGCAUUAAACUCAGACAAACCAGGUGCUUCCCUCAUUUAAAUUCAGUCAAACUUUCAAAAAUAAAUGUGUUGAACUUUAAAACAAAACUGCCCCUAGUUAUCUCAUGUGAUCAUCUGUUAUGUUGGCAAACAGAAAUUAUCAACAAUCCAAUUCUUAGCAGCUGUUAGACACACACACAUAUGCAGACACACACAGUAUUUCCUCAUUUACAUUUCUCAAUUUAAAAAGGAAACAAGUUCAAAUUUGAAAGCUGUAGUUACUGGCUGUGACUUGUUGAUAGUAAUUAGUAUGUUUGUUUUUUCAAUUGAGGGAAUGGCAGACAGGCAAAGGGGACAAAGAAAUCAUAAAACAUCAGUUUCAGUGUCUACACUGAUGCCUUGGAAAAUCACAAACCCAUUUUGCUACUUAUGGAAUCCCUCAACAAAUGCUGUGUAUCCUAGAACUUACCCCCUUCUCACUACUGAUCACCAUCCAACACUGAGCCAAUCCUCAGGUCCCCUGCCACAGUCCUGCCAAAUUAUUGGUUGCCUCGCAGCCUGAUGCCAGAUAAACUGCCAAUCAUUGAUUGUUUUCACAGAGCAUGGAAUCGGGCUGUGAAAUUCAAUUUCCAAUACUGAUAGCUGUAACAAGUAUACACAACCGUUGCCAUUAUACAUGUGGACAGGGAUUUGUAAUGGAAAUACAAAAAUAAGGACAGAAUAUAGUUUUUAAAAGGUGACCGAAUUACAUGUACAUACAUAUACACUUUGCUUGCUUUACUGUGACACAUUAGUAUGAAAUAUUUGUUGAAAAUAUUAAAUAUAAAGGAACUUGCUGUCAAUUUUUUCCAUUUUAAUUUUUAUACCAACACUUAUUAUGGUGACUGCUGAUGCAAACUUGAUGCACGGUAAUUAUACCCUUCCAUUAGUCAAGGGCCUGCAGCAGCACCACUGCUAGGAGUAUGACCAGGAUAGUUCUGUGUGAUAUUACUUGUGAAUGUAAGAAUCUAUAAUGGAAUUAUAAAAAUAUGUAACGUAAAAUGGCCACUGCAUUGUUUCUGUACUUCCUGGGCCAAUUAACCCCUCCUCUCUAACGCUGAAUGUGACAUUUUGUCUUUAAUCAUAGAUACAGUAUGUACCACACUGCAGGGAAUCACUAUGACUAUUUACACACAUACGUAUGCAACCAUUAUAUAAGUUAGUUGUUUGGUAGUAUAGAACUUGAGUAUUACUGAAAAAAGACAUGUUUUGUCAAAGCUUUUCAUCUUACACUCACGACAAUUUGCAACAAAUAAUAAUAGAAAGGAAAAACACGAUUUAUACUGUAUGAACAAUACUGAAGUUAUAUAUUUGGAAUGUACAUAUAGCUAUAUACACAUGCACGCAUGAACACACAUAUAAUUUAUAAAUAAAACAAAAAUAGGGCAUGUGUUGUUUCAGUCUAUCAUCCUAUUAUUUUGACCUCUCUUUGGUUAGGUUUAUCAUGCGUAUUACAAGCCGCUGGAAUUUACAGUAGCUGAACGGGAUGCUACCCAGUGCUAUAUCAAGAUGGUUUGCUUACGUGAAGGUGACCAGCGUAUUCUAGGGCUUCAUUUCAUUGGACCAAAUGCUGGAGAGGUCGUUCAAGGAUUUGCACUGGGAAUAAAAUGCAAUGCUACAUACUCUCAGCUGUCAUCUACCGUAGGCAUCCAUCCAACCUGUGCAGAAGAUGUGAAUAAAUUAAACAUCACCAAGCGCUCGGGUCUGGAUCCAACAGUCACAGCCUGCUGAGGUUAAAUGUCAUCCCUGAACCAACUGGCACACCACAAACUCUAUGGCCCUUGAGUAAGAUACAGUCUUAAGAAAAGUACAUGUUAAGUAAUAUCCUGUUAAUUUUUUUACACCGUUUUGGAGUCCACUGAGUGAGUCUGAUCAUGACAGUAGAAUACGAUUCCUAAAUCAGCCAGCAGAGGGGGAUAUUUGAUUAUUAAAGAUGGAUGUAAGUAAUAUUGUCCCUUCGUUAUCUAGAAUGGAAAGCAUUUGUAAGUCAUUAUUGCAAAGCUGUGGGAUGCCAAUUGUGUUUGUUUUAGCCAUAAUCGUAGAAGUCUGUGGGACUGCUUUACUGGAAUCAUGUACAGGUCCACCCUCUCAAAACCAGCUGAACAUCUUUAGAAUUUCAUGGAUUUUUUUCUAGUAAAAUAAACAUACCUAGAAUAGUUUGGCGAGGUGCUGAGUAGUGCUAAACUUACCUAUUUUGCUGCUUAUGUAUCAAUCUAUUCCCAUGCUCCAAGCAGCCUUAAACCCAUCAACCCAAAUUGGCCCAAACUGCCAAUAUUCCCCAACCCAAAAUUUGGCAAAAUCCAAGACCUGUUGUGGCCUUGGUCCUGUGUUUGCCAGUUUUAAGAGAGUGUACUUGUACUUCAAUUCUAUACCAGAGGUUUUCAAAAAGUGUUGAAUAUGCAUUUUUACCUUGUACAGUGAUGAAUUUCGAGUUCAUAAACCAGAGUUGAUGGUGUGCUGUUCGGGAUGACUGGUGACGAGAGUAAAAGUGUUUUGACUUUUGCUGUUAACUGACCUGACUAGUAUGUAUUUUGUAUAGUUAAAUGUGUAUAUAUGAUAUAGUAGUCAGGGUGCAUAUGUGCCAGUUAAUGAUGACUUGUUUAUAAACCCAUAUUGUGGGAUAGACUGGUCUGAUACUGAUUGGCAUUAAAAUAUAUAGAGAAAACUUUAAAUAAAGUGAUAUUACAGUU